rnacentral:rRNA from 1 species
CCUACGGGUGGCAGCAGUGAGGAAUAUUGGUCAAUGGGCGGGAGCCUGAACCAGCCAAGCCGCGUGAGGGAAGAAGGUACAGCGUAUUGUAAACUUCUUUUGUCAGGGAACAAAGGCGGGGACUAGUCCCUGGAUGAGGGUACCUGAAGAAAAAGCAUCGGCUAACUCCGUGCCAGCAGCCGCGGUAAUACGGAGGAUGCGAGCGUUAUCCGGAUUUAUUGGGUUUAAAGGGUGCGCAGGCGGCCUGUUAAGUCAGCGGGAAAAGCCCGGGGCUCAACCCCGGCGAGCCGUUGAAACUGGCGGGCUGGAGUUGGUGAGAGGUACGCGGAAUGCGCGGUGUAGCGGUGAAAUGCUUAGAGAUCGCGCAGAACCCCGAUUGCGAAGGCAGCGUACCGGCUCCACACUGACGCUGAGGCACGAAAGCGUGGGGAUCGAACAGGAUUAGAUACCCCUGUAGUC